UAAGCUUUUUUGUUGCUGUGCUUUUUCUGGAGAUUUUAGUUGGAUUGGAAAGCUCCUGUGUAAGGUACCCUUUCCUAAAGAAAAAUUGAAGUAAUUUGUACAAUUAUAACGCGCCGAGCUGUGUUUUAUUUUAUUGUUUCUAAGAAGAUGUAAGAAUACAAUAUUAUCAAUUUUAAUUGGUUUUAUCCAAAUCAAGAUUGUGUACAAUGGGAGUGAGUGAUGUAAUCUUCUAAUGCGUGUGGUGAAAAGAAGGCGAAUCCGUUAUUGUUUUUCUGCCCAAAUUUGAAGCUAUUUAAUAAAUCUUGAUAAAGUUAAAAAACUGUUUUGAUUUGUUUGUUUUUGUUUUAAUUGUUUCCCGUGAGUUUUCGAAAUUCGUUCCAGCAGAUUCUGUGGCUUCUACUGCCGGUACUUUUAGGUGAAAAACAUACUGUUUUGUUGUGAGGUCGUUUACGAAAUCGUUACGUUAGGACCAACUUCUGCGGGUUGUACAACUCGAUGUAUCACAUAUCUUUCGGAAUACUGCUAAAAGUGUAAUUUUGUAUUGCGCUCUUUACUUUUACCAUUCUGUGGGAAAAGGCGGUACAAAAUUUUAACACGCGUUAUUCGUUUUUGUUAGUUUCGCGUAAUCUAAUUUUCUCGCACAUUUUGAAAAGAAUAUCCCACGCACAUCAAAUACUCGCGCAAUCUGUUCGCAAAAAAAACUGUUUUUGAGCAACGAAUUGUUCCGCAGAGCGUUCAUUUUCCUACCUCGUCCCCAGGGUUCUUCUAUAUGAUAUUCAAUUUUGAUGUAUUUCGGAAGAUGUUAGCGCCAAAGAAACAAGAAGCGCUAGGGACAAAGUAUUGGAUAGUUUAAUUUUGCUUGCAACUUGCGAAAUGCUUCGCAACCUUUUUUUUAAUUUCUAGUUGUCUUUGAAAAUCGGUUCAACAGUCCAGAUGUACGCGUACUGUAGUGAAAUAUUCGGCACCCCCUUGGGUUUCUGCUGAUGGUUUUUAGAGUUACAUUUGUUUGGUUAUUUGUACGGAAUUAAAUAAUUCAUAAUGGUAGAUAGAACAGUCCAUAAUGGUAGCUUGACAGUAAGAGUAUGAGUAUGAGUCUUUUCUCAGAGCAUGGACUUAAUUGUUAAUGUAAUGUUGGAUCAUCCUCAUUCAACCGUCUUAUCUUUCUGAUUAUAAAAUAGAUGACUUAAGUAUUUUGAUAUUAAUAAAUAGAUCACAGAAAGAAUAAUAUUUUGCUUUACUAUACCUUGCCAGCUCCCCACCUUUUUUGGACACACAGGCCAGUCCUUUUGAAUAAAAGCUGACGAAGUAAUAGAAUCAAUCCGGAAAUUUUUUGGCUGAAAAACAUGAAAGACUCUACUGGAGAAGAUGGUUAGUCUAUUAAGACUAAUUAAAAUCGACUGUUUAAACGAAAAAUUAAAUAAUUCCUAAAUUAAUUAUGUAUUCUGCACAGAUCCGACAUUUGCAUUGGAAAGAAGAAAAUUCGCCCAUAACUCUACAGAAUUUAACCAAAGACUCUGCAGAUUUGAUUUCAUCAGGAAGAGAAUUCCAUAAUUGGGAGGCUAUAUAUCCAAAUGUUUGCAGCCCAUAUUUUGAAGAUUUUAUUCUAGGUCUAACUAAAGCACUUGAUGACCUUAAAUUAUAUCCAGUAUCAUUUCUAAACUGAAACACACCUUCCAUGUAGGAAGGAUUCAAUUUGCAUUUCGUCUUGUAGACCUCUUUUAGUAAUUGUCUACAAUGUUGCAUAUGAAUUCUUUUUGUAGAAGAAAUGGAUUCCACUUUAGACUGAGACCUUGCCCUUUUUAAAACUCUAUCCACCUUUGAAAUAGAUUUCCUGCUAUUAAAUCCCCAGACUAAAGGACAAUAAUUGAACUCAGAUGCUAUGAAUGUUGCAUAUAAUAAACUUUUCUGUUUAUUAUCAACAAUCCAGGAAAUUUUCUUCAGGGCAUUAGAUUUACAGCUAGCUCUUUUGCACAGUGUGUUUAUAUGAUCUGCAAAAGUAAGUUGACUGUCAAAUUUAAUACCAAGAAGCUUUACACAUUUGGAUGCAGAUAAAAUUGCUCCAUUUAAAUUUAAAUGCCGGAUUUGUGGACUUUCUGGCUUUCCGAAUAUUAUAAAAUCGCAUUUGCUUGCGUUUAAUUGCAAGCCAUUAUCGGAAAACCAUAAAGCUGCUGACCUAAAAAGUUGUUCUAACAUAUAUUUUACUUCGUGAAAGGUUUCAGCUGAUGCACAAAACGUAUUAGCGUCAGCACACUAGAAUA